UACAGGGGGUGCAAGCGUUGCUCGGAAUCACUGGGCGUAAAGCGUACGCAGGCGGACCGUUAAGUCGGGUGUGAAAGCCCGGGGCUCAACCCCCGGAACUGCAUUCGAUACUGGCGGUCUUGAAUACGGGAGAGGUGAGUGGAAUUCCUGGUGUAGCGGUGAAAUGCGCAGAUAUCAGGAGGAACACCGGUGGCGAAGGCGGGUCUCUGGGCCGAAACUGACGCUGAGGAGCGAAAGCGUGGGGAGCAAACAGG
rnacentral:rRNA from 1 species